CCUACGUACCCAUUGUGUUUCGGCAUCUGCUACGCACGGCGCAGAUCGUAUGGAACACCAGAAAGCGAAACAAAUUAAAUACCUAUACUCGGUGCAUUAGAUGUAGAUAGAUAUAUGCAAAUGAGUUUGUUGACAAUCGAGUUGAGAAAAAUCUUUCUGUAAUAGUUAAUCUCUAAACUAAUGAAUUUGUUACAAAAAAAAACUAGUUGAAGUUCACUAAAAAUAGGUUGAAUUAUUAAAAUUAGAAGUAGUUCCAUGCAGUGAAAUUGUGCAUCUAAAGGUGAAUUGUGUAGCUGACUUAAAUGCUAAAAAUACGUUUAAAACUUAACUUAUUUGUAUCACAGAUUUAGAUCACAGAUAGUAGUGCGAUUAUCACAGUUAGUGCAUAAGCAUUGAUUCGGGACUGCAGUUAGGAUCAUCUACAACAAAGGUAAUAAUAUCAGUUACUAUGCUGCAGAACUAGGCAUGCGAAUAUAACAUUUAACUGCACUAAAAUAGGAAUCGCAGCAGCUACCGUACGGGACCGCUUUCCGGACGUAACGGGUAAAGACGCACUAAACGUGAGUAAAAUCAAUUAGAGACAUUGGAAAGAUAGUGAAUUAGAUAUUCUCGAUUGUUCGCUACAUUUACAGGAAAAAUUUAACACUCAAAAAAAAUACAUAAAUACAACGUAUAUUUGUCGAGUUGUUCAAAUUACCGGAAUUUCCGUCUUGUUUCCGUUAACGGCAACAAAUUAAAUUUUUCGUUUAUCCGGAAUGUCAAGCGGUAGCGUAGCGGGUGCAGGCAUGACGAAAAGUGGUUCUCCCGGUGAGGGGGUGGGUUGCGGAGUGUGUCGUCGGGGUGAUGAAGAUUGUACCAACAGUCGAAUGGUUCAAUGCGACGAGUGCAAUGUGUGGUUCCAUUAUGACUGUGUGAACGUGAACGAUAGUAUCCGAGAUUACGACUGGAGCUGUAACGGAUGCGUGAGAACAACGCUAGACAAACAACGGCAAACCUUGAGUGAGCAGAUGGAGCGUCUCGAGCAGCAGCAGAAGCAGUGGCGACAAGAGCAGCAAAAAUACCAGGACCAGACUGAUGAACAACGCAAAAAGCUUGAGCAGUGGCAGACACAACUUGAGCUGCAACGGCGAGGGCAAGAGCAAAUACAUCAGUCGCAGACCGGGCAGUUGCAGUUGCAGCAGCAGAGCAAGCAGUUCGAAGCAACUACAUCUGGACUCAACACGCCAUGGCAAACGUUUGGCGGAUCUCUGAGUCAGAAGCAGCAAGUCAGGAUUGUGGAAGAAGUCGUAACGGAAACACAAGCAGCGAAUGGACCAGGCAAUACCAAACCGCUGGGGACUUCGUCCGUCAACAAUGUUGGAACAUGCCGUAGAAGCAUCAUAGCAUCCUCAAAAUCAUCGAAGCGUUCGGCAAAGCUUCGAGAACUACAAACAAAGGCUCUGGAGGCAAGACAGGCGCUUGAGAAGAAGCAGUUGGAGGAGCGGUUGGAACUGGAGCGCGAAAUGUUGGAGCUUAGCGAAUCCGAAGUCGAUUCAGUUACGAGUCUCGAGAAAAUCAACGAAUGGCUGGAGAAAACGGAGAAUGCAGGGAAGGAAGCAGGAAAUUCCCUGGACGAAACACCUUUGCCGGUGUACAACGAGCUUCUGCGAAAAACAGUAGUGCCGCAAUCUCAAACGUGUAUCCCGGGUUUCCCGGUAGUGCAAGCCAAUGUUCAGCAACAUGCUAGAUAUUCUGCUCCGCAUCAACCGUGUGUCUCGCAGCAGCUUGGGGGAAUUUGUGCCCCUGGGGUCAGAUAUACCGAAAACCUACGACCCAGCCAGAAAUUUGCAGGUUUUCCUCCGAAUUACCAGCCACCAUUGGGCAAUUUCUCAUCGAUGCCGGUGUAUACUGUAGCGUCGCAUCAACCGACAGCGUAUCCGGCGACGAGUUAUCAACACCAAGCCGCUCAAACCAUCCAGCAUACCGAUUCUAUUCCGCAGAACCUCGGUCAUCCAGUGAUGAGCACAUCAACUCCGCGAUAUCGUCCGGCUACAUCUCAGCAGCAAUAUCUACCCCAUCUGCAUAGUAAUCCAGUACCUCUGGACAGCAGUCACUUAGCAGCAAGACAGACGGUUAAAGAUCUUCCGAAGUUUGGUGGGGAUCCUGAAGAUUGGCCUCGAUUCAUCGCGGCAUACGAGCGCACUUCUAGGAUGUGUGCCUUCAGGAACGACGAAUUGCUUGAUCGACUGGAGCGGAGUCUGCACGAUAAGGCACUCAACGCCGUUAAAAGUCUACUAUUACACCCCGACAACGUUCCAGUCAUCAUGAAGCGACUGAAGACCCUCUUCGGGAAUCCGGAAUCUAUAGUGGAGACAAUGGUGCGGAGAAUCCGCAUGAUGCCACCUCCGAAGGCUGAGAAGAUGGAGACGAUUAUCGACUUCGGCGUUGCCGUGCAGAACCUGUGUGCGACAAUACAAGUGUGCCAAAUGGACGAAAGGUUGUAUAAUGUCGCAUUGCUGCAGGAGCUUGUAGAUAGUCUACCAUCAGCGUUGAAAAUGAAGUGGGCAUUCUACCGAAAGGAGAUCGGAGCUGCCACGUUGUUGGAGUUCAAUAACUGGCUAGGAGAUAUGGUUGAGGCAUUUAGUCAGGUGGUCAGACCUGCGGCUGGGACAAAAAUGCAGAAGCCAGAGAUCAGAGUACGAAAAGAAGAAGUCUAUGUUCACGCACACUCACUGUCUUCACCGGAACAGCUCGACUACAAAACUUGUCCAGCGUGUAGCAACGAAUGCAGCAGCCUCGAACAGUGUAGUGGUUUUCUGGAGAUGUUGCCGAAAGCACGAUGGGCGUUGGUGAACGAAAAGAAAAUCUGCCGGAAGUGUUUGACGAAGCACUUCAAUACUUGCGAAAGGAAAGUUCCAUGCAACCAGGAUGGGUGCAGCUUUCUACAUCAUUGGUUGUUGCACGACGACAGCAAACACAAGAAGCCGUUAGCAAGCGCUCAAGUACAAAACGCAUCUGUGAACGCGCACCAUCGCUCAUUGCCAAACGUGCUCUUGAAGUACAUACGAGUUACUCUACACGGUAAAGGAAGGUCGAUUACGACAUACGCCUUCUUUGAUUCAGGAUCAACGUCAACGCUGAUGGAGCACAGUUUGUGGAAGGAACUGAACCUCAAUGGUGAGAAGUCUCCACUGUGCAUUUCGUGGACUGGGGGACAAGGAAGAUACGAGCAAGAUUCAGUAGUAUUCUCGGCUGACAUUGCUAGUGCUGCAAACCCAGGACAACGAUUCCGUCUUCCGGAGGUACAUACGGUGCGUAGCUUAGAUCUUCCUGAACAGUCAAUGUCGGUUACUGAGCUAGCAAAGCACUUCCAACAUCUGUCUGAUCUUCCUAUCGACUCAUACAGUGCAGUAAAACCCCGAAUUCUACUUGGAGUUGACAGCUCCAGGCUUGAGUACCCUUUUGACUCUAGAGAGGGAAGCGAGAACCAGCCGACGGCUGUAUUAACACGGCUGGGUUGGGUAGUCUACGGGCCGUGCUCGUUGUCAGGGCAAACAGUCGCUAUCAACGACGUUUCGUACAGCUACCACAUCUGUCAGUGCGAGGGACUGCAUCUAGCCGUCAAAAAUUACUUCUCUCUCGACAGUCUCGGAGUUCAACUUGAUGGGAAACCGCUGAUGUCAAGGGAUGAUGAACGAGCGAUGAAGCUGUUACAAGAAAAUACUGUUCUACAGAAUAAACGAUAUGAGACAGGCUUGCUAUGGCGCUACGAAGAUGUCCGAUUACCGUCGAGCAAAUCCAUGGCCCUAAAACGACACGACUGCUUAAACAAACGCAUGGCUCGGGAUCCAGUGUUAGCCAAAUGUCUUCAGGAAAAAAUCCUGGACUAUCAAGCGAAAGGGUAUAUUCGUAAGCUAUCGGCGCAGGAAGAGAACACGUAUUCAGGACGUUCGUGGUAUCUACCGAUCUUCCCAGUGGUUAACCCCAACAAACCUGGUAAGCUGCGAAUUGUCUGGGACGCUGCCGCCAAAGUGGGAAACUUCUCUCUCAACUCGUUUCUACUAAAAGGACCAGAUCAGGUUACGCCGCUUCAGCACGUCCUUCAAAGAUUUCGUGAAUAUCGUACGGCGGUCGCAGGAGAUAUUCGUGAAAUGUUUCACCAAGUUCGAAUCAAGCCCAUCGAUCAGCAUUGCCAGCGAUUCCUGUGGAAUGAUGGCAUCCCCGGAAAUGCUCCUUCAACGUACGCAAUGGAGGUGAUGACGUUCGGUGCAAGCUGCUCACCGAGUAGUGCACAAUAUGUGAAGAAUAUCAAUGCAGCUCGAUUCAAGGACCAGUAUCCGGAAGCGGUGGAGACGAUUUGUAAAGGAACGUAUGUGGAUGAUAUGCUCGACAGUGUUGAAUCCGAAGCAGAAGCUGUGAAACUCUUGCAGGAUGUACGCUACAUACACGCGGAAGGUGGGUUCGAGAUCCGAGGAUGGCUGUCGAACUCCCAGAAGGUGCUGGAUUCCAUGGGCGAGCAGAUAACACCACAAAAGGAUCUAAAUAGGGAUGGAGACUUGGCAACCGAGAAAGUUCUUGGCAUGUGGUGGGAUACAAUCAGCGACACGUUUACAUUCAAGAUCCCAAAACGCUGUCGACAGGAGCUGUUAUCUGGAGAGCAAGUUCCUACGAAGCGGGAAGUUCUACGGACUCUCAUGUCUGUCUACGACCCGCUUGGUCUCCUCGCGAAUAUACUGAUGUAUUUGAAGGUGCUACUUCAAGAGAUCUGGCGUUCCAAAAUUGGCUGGGACGAACCGAUAGACGAUGAAUCACUGGACAAAUGGAGAGCCUGGCUUAGGGUAUUGAAUCAGGUAGAAACAGUUUCCGUUCCUCGAUGCUAUCGUAAGGUGACAUCAUCAUCAACCGUGACUAACGAGGUCCAGCUGCACGUUUUCGUCGACACGAGUGAGAAAGGUUACGCAGCAGUCGCCUAUCUCAGAUUCGAUGAGAAUCGCUCUGUUGAGUGUGCUUUCGUUACAGCUAAAACUCGUGUCGCUCCGCUCAAAUACAUUUCAAUUCCACGACUAGAGCUUCAGGCGGCCGUGGUAGGAACACGUCUGGCAAAAUGUAUAGGAGAAACGCACCGAAUAACAGUUCAAAAGCGGUUUUUCUGGACUGAUUCAAUGGACGUUCUCUGUUGGUUACGUACGGAUCACAGGCGAUACAGCAAAUUCGUUGGUGCUAGGGUUGGAGAAAUUCUCGAAGACACAGCGAUAUCAGAGUGGCUCUGGGUUCCAACUAAAUUGAACGUGGCAGACGAAGGUACGAAAUGGCAGAAAUUCCCGGAUCUAUCCUCAUCUAGUCGAUGGUUCAGGGGACCGGAUUUCAUGUGGCAACAGAUGAGUGCCUGGCCAGCUCAGCCGGCGUAUCAUGGUGAAACUAUCACUGAAAGGAACGCCAGCAUCAACGUCCAUAACACUCGUGAACCCAUUUUUAAUUUUGCCAAUUACUCCAACUGGCGUAAACUUCUACGGAUCACUGCUUACGUACUCCGGUUCACAACAAAUUUGCGAGCAUAUUUGCAGCGGAGAUCACCUUCCAACGGAAUCCUGAAGCAGUCGGAGCUGAUUGAAGCUGAACGAUACAUCUAUCGACAAGUUCAACUGGAUGCAUAUGGCGAGGAGAUUGCAUUACUGCGGAGUUCGAAGGAUGCUGAAGGAAGGACGACGGCUACGAUUCCCAGAAGCAGCUCUCUAUACAAACUUUCACCGUUUCUGGACGACCACGGAGUACUUCGUACAGAAGGACGGGCUGCUGGAUGCAAGUUCAUUGAUCCAGAUGCUGUCCACACAAUCCUUUUGCCGAGGGAGCAUCCGAUCACUACACUCAUCAUACGAUUCACCCACGAACGCUACCACCAUCUUAACCACGAAACCAUCGUCAACGAACUGCGUCAGGUGUAUCGAAUUCCGAAGCUUCGAAGUGUCUGCAACAAGAUACGACGACUUUGCCAAUACUGCAAAAAUCUACGAGCUCAACCACAACCGCCCGUAAUGGCCGACCUUCCGCCAGCUCGUCUUGCUGCUUAUUCUCGUCCGUUCUCAUACGUCGGAAUUGAUUACUUUGGGCCAAUCCAAGUCGUUGUUGGCAGACGGAGUGAGAAAAGAUGGGGCGUGUUAAUAACGUGUCUGGUGGUACGCGCCAUCCAUAUUGAAAUAGCGCAUUCCCUUAACACGAGCUCUUGUAUCAUGGCUCUACGCAACUUUAUGUGCAGGAGAGGUACACCCGUGGAACUGUUCAGUGAUCGAGGAACGAACUUCAUCGGUGCAAAUCGCGAGCUAACUGAAGCACUUCGGUUCCUUGAUGAAGAUAAGCUAAUGCAAGAGUUCGUCACGCCGCAUACAAAAUGGACCUUCCUGCCGCCAAGCAGUCCACAUAUGGGUGGAAGUUGGGAAAGAUUGGUGCAAUCGGUUAAGAAAAUCCUAGGAAACAUGCAGCUCCCGAGAACACCUACCGACGAAGUCCUGCGGAACAGCCUCUUGGAAGUGGAGAACAUUAUCAACUCUCGCCCCCUCACCUACAUUCCUAUUGAUGAUGCCGAGAACGAAGCACUGACACCCAACCAUUUUUUGUUGGGUUCUUCCGGUGGCUCAAAGCCACUUGUAGCCUACGAUAGUAGCCCCGCUACGCUAGUUAAUAACUGGAGAACUUCGCAAAUCUAUGCUAACAUAUUCUGGAGACGUUGGUUGCGAGAAUACCUGCCCUCAAUCAGUCGUCGGACAAAGUGGCACUACCCAACGAAGCCAAUCGAAGUCGGUGACGUAGUGGUCAUUACCGACCCGGACCUGCCAAGAAACUUAUGGCCCAAGGGCCGUGUGGUAGACGUAAGGUGCAAAAAUGGCCAAGUUCGAAGCGCAACCGUAAGGACAUCGACAAAUAUCUACAACCGCCCAGCAGUGAAACUUGCGGUACUGGACGUCGGCGCAAUUAAUACUACACAAGAACCUGGACCUUGUGUACUGGGGGGGACAGUUACGCAAGCUGCGUAAAGCGCCUACGUACCCAUUGUGUUUCGGCAUCUGCUACGCACGGCGCAGAUCGUAUGGAACACCAGAAAGCGAAACAAAUUAAAUACCUAUACUCGGUGCAUUAGAUGUAGAUAGAUAUAUGCAAAUGAGUUUGUUGACAAUCGAGUUGAGAAAAAUCUUUCUGUAAUAGUUAAUCUCUAAACUAAUGAAUUUGUUACAAAAAAAAACUAGUUGAAGUUCACUAAAAAUAGGUUGAAUUAUUAAAAUUAGAAGUAGUUCCAUGCAGUGAAAUUGUGCAUCUAAAGGUGAAUUGUGUAGCUGACUUAAAUGCUAAAAAUACGUUUAAAACUUAACUUAUUUGUAUCACAGAUUUAGAUCACAGAUAGUAGUGCGAUUAUCACAGUUAGUGCAUAAGCAUUGAUUCGGGACUGCAGUUAGGAUCAUCUACAACAAAGGAAUCGCAGCAGCUACCGUACGGGACCGCUUUCCGGACGUAACGGGUAAAGACGCACUAAACG